ACGAACGCUGGCGGCGUGCCUAAAACAUGCAAGUCGAACGGAAGUAGCAAUACUCAGUGGCGAACGGCGGAGUAAUACAUAAGCAACGUGCCCUGAAGACUGGGAUAGCGGUCCGAAAGGACCAGUAAUACCGGAUGUGGCCCGCUUGGGACAUCUCAAGUGGAUUAAAUGGUUUUUCGCUUCAGGAGCGGCUUAUGACCUAUCAGCUUGUUGGCGAGGGGGUAACGGCUCACCAAGGCGACGACGGGUAGGGGGUCUGAGAGGAUGAUCCCCCCGAGUGGGACUGAGACACGGCCCACACACCUACGGGUGGCAGCAGUUGGGAAUCUUGCACAAUGGGGGAAACCCUGAUGCAGCGACGCCGCGUGGAGGAUGACGGAUCUAGGUCUGUAAACUCCUUUUUCAUGGAAGGACUUAGGACGGUACCAUGAGAAUAAGGACCGGCUAACUCCGUGCCAGCAGCCGCGGUAAGACGUAGGGGAUCCAAGCGUUGUUCCGGAUCUACUGGGCGUAAAGAGGCGUGUAGGCGGCUCGUAUAAGUGUGGUGUGAAAUCUCCCGGGCUCAACCCGGGGAACCUGCAUCCGCAUACUGUGCGAGCUUCGAGGCACAUGCAGAGGUAGACUGGAAUUCCCUGGUGUAGCGGUGAAAUGCGUAGAUAUCAGGAGGAACACCAUGGCGAAGGCGAGGUCUACUGGGCAUUAUCUGACGCUGAGGCGCGAAAGCCAGUGGGUAGCAAACAGGAUUAGAUACCCCUGGUAGUCCACUGCCCUAAACGAUUGGCUACUAGACGUUAAGAGGCUAUCGACCCCUCCUGUGUCCGCAGCUAACGCACUUAAGUAUCCCCGCCUGGGGAGUACGGCCGCAAGGUUGAAACUCAAAUGAAUUGACGGGGACCCGCACAAGCGGUGGAGCAUGUGGAUUAAUUCGACUCAACCGAAGAACCUUACCCAGGCUUGACAUGCACUGGUAAGCCUAGAUGAUUAGGACCCUUCCCCUCAAGGGGACUCGUGAAACAGAUGCUUGCAUGGCUGUCGUCAGCUCGUGUCGUGAGAGUGUGGGUUAAGUCCCGCAACGAGCGCAACCCUUGUCAUAUGUUGCCAGCGGAAGCCGUGGGCACUCAUAGGAGACUGCCGGUGGUUAAACCGGAGGAAGGUGGGGAUGACGUCAAGUCCUCAUGGCUCUUACGCCUGGGGCUACACACGUGCUACAAUGGCCGGUACAAAGGGUUGCAAGACCGCGAGGUGGAGCCAAUCCCAAAAAGCCGGCCUCAGUUCGGAUUGGAGUCUGCAACUCGACUCCAUGAAGUCGGAAUCGCUAGUAAUCGCUGAUCAGCAGGCAGCGGUGAAUACGUUCCCGGGCCUUGUACACACCGCCCGUCAAGCCACGAAAGUCGGUAGUACCCGAAGUCGGUGUGCCAACCGCAAGGAGGCAGCCGCCUAAGGUAAGAUCGGUGAUUGGGGCU
rnacentral:rRNA from 1 species